rnacentral:lncRNA from 1 species
CCAACCGCCAUAUCAAGUCAGAAGAAGCCUGAAGGAAAGAGAGAUUACUAGAAACUAACCCGGUUUACCGUUUAUCUGUGGAUUCAAUGUUGGAGUAGAGGACCUGCAUUUCAGGUAAUUCAUCUGUCAGACGAGGUCAGGAAUCGGAGGGAGGUGGAGAAGGAGGUGCAGGAGAAGAGCCAGCAUACAGCCAGGAUAGAAGAGAAGAUCCACAGGCUGAGAGAUGCCAGCCCUGGGUAGGGUCCUGAACAUGGAGGGUUCCUAGCCCUGUUGGACAGAGAAGCAACUCAAUCUGAGACAGACACCAAGCCAAACAGCAUGAGGUUAACCCUUAGUUAACUUGGACAGAGUUAGGAAUGAAUCAUGUGAUAGCCUUUAUAUCAAUUUCAAAUGUUAAAUGUAAAGUUAUCUUUUGAAACAUAACCUAAAAUGAAUGUUAUUUGGUGGCCAUAUCUGUGUCUUGGAACAUGGCCACAAACACAGUUCUUCAGAAAUAGAGAAUGCUGUGGACAGUGACAGUGGACAGUGAGGAGGAAGACACCAGUAUCACUUACUGAACAGAUGACAGAACCAACAAACCAUUGAUGCAGGAGUUAGAGGCCAGGAAGAAUCAUGUGAUCUCCUCUGGUGUGUAUGAACUUUGCACGUAUAUAAACAUGUACUGUAUCAAACAUAUUUAGAACUUAAACUGUGGGUGGAUGAGCUCUUAAUCCCAAAUCAAUCCCUAUACCUUAACACUUACCCCCUAUGUACUCUGAGAACUGAACGGUUUGGAUAGGUGUGAACAAACCUGUGAACUACAGCAGACACUUAUAUUAUACUAAUCAAUACUGUAUUUGUACUCUGCAGGUACAGUGAGUUCCUUGUGUAGAACUCUGUCCAUAAAGGAAGGAGAGCUGAUCACUGCUAAAGGCCAGCAGGAUGAGUUGGGACGGCAGAUGAGGACAGGUUAGUCUAGCUAUAGGUCAUGUCCAGGAAGAUAGUGAAGGACAGGUUGGCCCAGCUACAGGCCAUGUCCAGGAAGAUAGUGAAGGACAGGUUGUCCCAGCUAAAGGUAUUGUCUAGGAAGGUGUGAACAUGCUUUGAGUGUGUAGAUUUGUAGAUUAGGCUACAUAGCCAUCUAUGUGAAUCAGACCUGGGUGAAAUAUGUACUACAGGUGCUCAUGAUUUAGCUUAACCGGCAGGCAGUUUGCACUUUUGGGACUAUUCAGCUCUUUCCGUUGUGCCUAGAUCGAGCACACCUAAAGUCCUUUUCAAAUACACUGCGAAUGUGACUUUUCUAAGAACUGCCUUUACUUUCAGUUCUCCUGUUUACGUGAAGGUAUGAGGAACUCGUGAUAAUACUGGAGGAGAAUGGAAAAAUGUAAUCUUUUCAGCCUUAUUAACACAUUGUAAAUAUAUACUUUUACUGUUGGAUAUUUGGUUCACAUUUAAGAUGACUUCUAUUAGAAGUGUAUGUAUCUACCAAAUGUGUAAGUGGUUGGAAACAUGCCAUGUCUCAAGAAGUCACACUUGUUGAACAAAUAUAGCCUAGCUAUGCCUUGUGUUAACCACCACGGAAGUGUUCAUAACCCCAGGUUCAAGAGUGAAAAGCAUCUGCGUUGUUGUUUGUGAGACCAAAGCUCUUUACAAUAAAAU